UUAGUUUGCUAUGUAACAGUUUGAAGAGUAUGUUGAGUUGUGUUUUUAAGUGAUCGAUCCUAAAUACUAAUUUUAAUUUCCCUUAUGAACAAAGCUAGCUGUUUAAUAUUGUUUAUGUUAUUUUCAGUUAAAAUAAGUAUCAAAUCAAGUUUCUUCGAAGUAUUUGUGCCGUGUCAAAUGAAUGUUAUGUGAAGAAAAAAAAAAGUUUUUUCGAGAGUACUGGGUACAUUGCAUGAAUUACAGUUUUCGUUAGGGACCAAUCCCCAUUUAUAUAGUCUAUCCUUUGUGGCUAAGUGGCAUGAGCGUAGUCUGGAUAAUGUUAUCGUGAGAUCGUUCGGCAAACAUAUGUUUUGGAACCAUGGCUCCAGUUUGAUCGUUGGCAUAAUUUUGUAAUGGCUAAGGGUCAAGUCGUCUUUGGAAAGUCGUCGAUUUCAGUUCUUGUUGUUCAAAGCUUAGCUGCAUGAUCAGCUCUGUCGUUUCCCGUUAGAUGAAUAUGUCCAGGAAUCCAUUGAAUGGUGAGACUGUCUAUUUGCGAUCUAUUAAUUAAUUUAUAAAUGGUACAGAUUUUCUUAAACGAUGUAAGCCAGAACUUAUUAUCAAAACAGUAACCAUACUUAAUGCCGUAGUUAACUCUGGUAUAAUUCCAGAUGAUUGGCGCGACAUUAAAAUCGUUCCAAUACUUAAACCAUCCAAAAACCCUAAUGAACCGUUAUCAUACAGACCAUUAGCCAUGAUUAGCGUUAUUAUAAAACUUAUUAAUUUUAUUAUAAAGCGUAGGCUAACUGAACAUAUAGAAACAGACAAUAUGUUACCAGCUUACUCGUUUGGCUUUAGAAAAAGAACCUCUGCAAUUAACUGCGUUAACACAUUUCUGACCCACGUGUACAAUGCAAAAAGAGAAAACGAAGUUGUUAUAACAACCUUCUUAGAUUUAUCGAAAGCAUUCGACAACGUAGAUAUCAAAAAACUACUUGAUACCUUAGAUGAGACUAAUAUCCCACCAGAACUCAUAAACUGGAUAUUCAACUAUUUACAGAAAAGGAACAUAAUACUAAAACUAAACAAUAACACGGAAAUCAGACGAGUAACUAACAAAGGUCUUCCACAAGGCUGUCCAUUAUCAAUUUAAAAUUUUAUUCAACCUGUACACUAUGAAAGUCCAUACCCUAUCCGGCCCAAACAGAAUAUUGUUCCAAUUCGCUGAUGACUUCACAGUAAUGGUUAAGGCAAAGAAUUUAUCAUUAGCAGUAAAGAAUACGAACAAUUUCUUAGCAGAAAUAACCAACCACUUAAAUAGUAUAGGAAUGACGAUAAACACAGAUAAAUGCGCCACUAUGGUCAUGACACACAAAUUUCAUCCGAUAGAUAAUAAAAAUCAACAAUCAUUAAAUAGAAGCAAAACCAGUACAAAAAUUCUUAGGGAUAUACAUUGAUUAUAGACUCAACUACAAUAAACAUAUCGAAACGACAGUAGCGAAAAUUAAAAAGAAAAUCAACAUAAUUAAAAUGAUAACUAAACGGAAAAAUGGAGCCCACCCUCGUACCACACUCAAUAUAUCUAAAGCAAUAGUACAACCACAAAUUGACUACGGACUGACAAUUACAGCAGCAGCCCCGACAACCAACUUCACCAAACUGCAAACAGUACAAAACCUCGCAAUUAGAGUAUCAAUGAGAUACCUUAAAUCAACUCCAAAUCAUGUAAUUCUAUCAGAAACCAUUACCAGUUACCAUUGAGGGAAAGAGCUGAGUACUUAGCAAUCAAGGAAAAUCUGUAAAGCCCUUUACUACCAAAAUAGCCCAAUUAUUCAUUACCUAUAUAAAUUUAUUCAAGAAGACGAUUUACCAAAGCACCAUACUUACCUUGAAAAGAUAGCUAGUUUGAACAAUUACCAUUUAUUACAGCUUGCACGUGCAGUUCCUUAUGAAAACUCAGAAAAAAUUAUUAUACAUCCAGAAAUAGAAUCAUUUGAAAAGAAAAACUACUCCACAACAGUACAGAAACAAACAGUUCUUGGCUUAAUACAAACAUCUUACGCUGAUUAUUAUAAAACUUUCACUGACGGCUCAAAAAUUGACGGACGAACAGGUUAUGGUAUAUACGAUGAAGCAGAGAAAUUGUCGCAAAGUGGGAGACUUAAAUCACAAUUCACAAUUAUGAACGCGGAGAUAGCCGCUAUCAUCAAAGCUAUUGAGUACUUAAUAAUCAAGAGCAUUUCCAAAGCUGAUGUAUUUACCGAUAGUCAAAGUGCUGCAAAACUAAUUCAAAGUAAGAAAAAUGAUGGAAACUUUUUAAUCUGUACCAUUUAUGAAUUAAUUAAUAGAUCGCAAAUAGACAGUCUCACCAUUCAAUGGAUUCCUGGACAUAUUCAUCUAACGGGAAACGACAGAGCUGAUCAUGCAGCUAAGCUUUGAACAACAAGAACUGAAAUCGACGACUCUCCAAAGACGACUUGACCCUUAGCCUGAAACAUGAAAUAAUUUGCUUAUGGAAUGAAAAAUACAAAGAAAUUUCAAAUGACAAAGGAA